CAAGAGCUCGCGUCGGCGAAACGACGCGCGGACAUCGCGACGAACGCGGUGAAGCAGGCGAACAUCAUGACCGCGCUGUUGCGGCAGCAGAAAGAAGAGAUCGCGCGCCAGAAGGCGCUCCUACUGGUGAGGACGUCGAGCGCGAAAACACGCGCACUUUUUUUAAAAAACCCGCUCUCAGGCGCUCGCUCACGUCUCCGCCCCCGCGUCGCGCGACCCUACGCCUCGGCGAAGCUUCACGAGGCGAACGACGAGGUCACGAAGCUCAGGAUCCAGGUCAACGCGACGAAGAGCCUGAAAGAGCUGCAGCAGACGCUCGAGGCGCCGACGCUGCGGAACUUGCGGAUGCACAAGGCGCAGCCGUCUCCCGCGGCGGCGGCGGCGGCGGCGGUCGCGGACCCCGCGAUCGAUCUGCGCUCGCCGCUCUCCCCCCAACGCGCGCCGACCGCCGCCGCGCCGCCGUCGCCGUACGACUUCACCGGGUUCUCGCCCGCGGCGGAGGACCCGGACGACGAGCACUGGGAAGACGCGCCGACGGAGCUGGACGACGCGCCGUCGCGGUCGCCGUCGCCUUCGCCUUCGCCGCCUUCACCGCCGCCGCCGCCGCCGCCGCCGCGCGACACCCCCGUCGCCGCGAACCCCGUGCCGAGCGCCGCGGCGAACUUCCGCGGGUUCGCCGCGACCGGCCUCGACUCCGCGACGCGCGCGACGCGAGGACGCACGC
rnacentral:lncRNA from 1 species